GGAGAGAUGGCAGAGCGGUCUAAUGCGGCGGUCUUGAAAACCGUUGACUGUCACAGGUCCGGGGGUUCGAAUCCCUCUCUCUCCGCCU
rnacentral:tRNA from 1 species